ACUCUGGCGGAUAUUAUAUAUAUUGGGGCAUAUGCACUCACUCUAGCUUCCUACUGAUGCAAUAAAGGACUUAUUAUUCCUUACAACUUGCCUGAUAUUGGUAAUUGAAACUCUGAGGCGAACAGCAUCCAAACAGAGAACACUUGCUAUAUAUGGAAUGUAAACAACUGCUCCAUACAUCAAAAACUGUUCCACAUGGUGUUUGCCAG